GACGAACGCUGGCGGCGUGCUUAACACAUGCAAGUCGAGCGGUAAGGCCCUUUCGGGGGUACACGAGCGGCGAACGGGUGAGUAACACGUGGGUGACCUGCCCUCAGCUCUGGGAUAAGCCUGGGAAACUGGGUCUAAUACUGGAUAUGACUCCACGGUGCAUGUCGUGGGGUGGAAAGCCUUGUGCGGCUGAGGAUGGGCCCGCGGCCUAUCAGCUCGUUGGUGGGGUGAUGGCCUACCAAGGCGACGACGGGUAGCCGGCCUGAGAGGGCGACCGGCCACACUGGGACUGAGACACGGCCCAGACUCCUACGGGAGGCAGCAGUGGGGAAUCCUGCGCAAUGGGCGAAAGCCUGACGCAGCGACGCCGCGUGAGGGA
rnacentral:rRNA from 1 species